rnacentral:rRNA from 1 species
GAUGAACGCUAGCGGCAGGCCUAAUACAUGCAAGUCGAACGCUCAGUAGCAAUACUGGGAGUGGCGCACGGGUGCGUAACGCGUACACAAUCUACCUCUAAGCGGGGGACACCUCCUGGAAACGGGGAUUAAUACCGCAUAAUAUGCCGAAGUCGCAUGACUUUGGUAUUAAAGCAGCAAUGCACUUAGAGAUGAGUGUGCGUCCCAUUAGGUAGUUGGUGAGGUAACGGCUCACCAAGCCUAUGAUGGGUAGCCGGUCUGAGAGGAUGGUCGGCCACACGGGCACUGAGACACGGGCCCGACUCCUACGGGAGGCAGCAGUAAGGAAUAUUGGACAAUGGGGGCAACCCUGAUCCAGCCAUGCCGCGUGUGUGAAG